rnacentral:rRNA from 1 species
AACGUAGGAGACAAACGUUAUCCGGAGUUACUGGGCGUAAAGGGCGUGUAGGUGGUUUCCUAAGUCUGGCGUGAAAUUUCUCGGCUUAACCGAGGCAGGUCGUCGGAUACUAUGAGACUAGAGGACGGUAGAGGCGUGUGGAAUUCCGGGUGUAGUGGUGAAAUGCGUAGAGAUCCGGAGGAACACCAGUGGCGAAGGCGACACGCUGGGCCGUACCUGACACUGAUGCGCGACAGCAUGGGAAGCAAACAGG